AUACCUACCAAUAGAGAUGCAUUUCAUUAUACAUAAUAUUAUAGUUACUUUUAAAAUUCAAUUUUAUUGUUAGACUAUACACUCUCAAGAGUACUUAUUUAUUCAUUUACUUCGUCGAGACUGCAUCUUAUUGCUUAUUGAUUUAUCCAACGAUUUUGAUUCUAUGGCAUAGGCUUAAUGGAAAAGCGACUUAGAUCCGGUGGCCCGGGGCUCGCGGGAAGGGCGUCGCCGUGUUUCAGACGAUGCGAAUACGAAAACCAGACAGCCGGUCGGUGGGUGGCGAUAGUGAUGGGCCCUCACGGAGAGGACGUCCGCCCCCCCACCCUCUCAUCAUCAGACCGACACGGUCCGGGUCGUCGUACGUCGCGUUUCGGCGGCGUUUGGUAUUUCGUGGGCGAUGAGAAGAGACACAGUACAAAGAGGACCUUGGCAAAGU